rnacentral:rRNA from 1 species
CUACGUGCCAGCAGCCGCGGUAAUACGUAGGGCGCAAGCGUUGUCCGGAAUUAUUGGGCGUAAAGAGCUCGUAGGCGGCUGGUCGCGUCUGUCGUGAAAACUUCCGGSUCAACCGGGGGCUUGCGGUGGGUACGGGCCGGCUAGAGUGCGGUAGGGGUAACUGGAACUCCUGGUGUAGCGGUGGAAUGCGCAGAUAUCAGGAAGAACACCGAUGGCGAAGGCAGGUUACUGGGCCGUUACUGACGCUGAGGAGCGAAAGCGUGGGGAGCGAACAGGAUUAGAUACCCUGGUAGUCCAUGCCGUAAACGUUGGGCACUAGGUGUGGGGGACAUUCCACGUUUUCCGCGCCGUAGCUAACGCAUUAAGUGCCCCGCCUGGGGAGUACGGCCGCAAGGCUAAAACUCAAAGGAAUUGACGGGGGCCCGCACAAGCGGCGGAGCAUGCGGAUUAAUUCGAUGCAACGCGAAGAACCUUACCAAGGCUUGACAUGUUAACCG